rnacentral:rRNA from 1 species
ACAAUGGAGAGUUUGAUCCUGGCUCAGGAUGAACGCUAGCUACAGGCUUAACACAUGCAAGUCGAGGGGAAACGAUAUUGGAAGCUUGCUUCCGAUAGGCGUCGACCGGCGCACGGGUGAGUAACGCGUAUCCAACCUGCCCACCACUUGGGGAUAACCUUGCGAAAGUAAGACUAAUACCCAAUGACGUCUCUAGAAGA